rnacentral:rRNA from 1 species
CAGCCGCCGCGGGAAUACGUAGGUGGCAAGCGUUGUCCGGAAUUAUUGGGCGUAGAGGGCUCGCAGGCGGUUUCUUAAGUCUGAUGUGAAAGCCCCCGGCUCAACCGGGGAGGGUCAUUGGAAACUGGGAAACUUGAGUGCAGAAGAGGAGAGUGGAAUUCCACGUGUAGCGGUGAAAUGCGUAGAGAUGUGGAGGAACACCAGUGGCGAAGGCGACUCUCUGGUCUGUAACUGACGCUGAGGAGCGAAAGCGUGGGGAGCGAACAGGAUUAGAUACCCCCGUAGUCCCUGUCUCUUAUAC